GACGGAGGGUGCUAGCGUUGUUCGGAAUGACUGGGCGUAAAGGGCGCGUAGGCGGCUCGUGAAGUCGGGUGUGAAAGUCCAGGGCUCAACCCUGGAAUGCCGGUGGAUACUGUCGGGCUCGAGUCCGGAAGAGGCGAGUGGAAUUCCUGGUGUAGCGGUGAAAUGCGCAGAUAUCAGGAGGAACACCAAUGGCGAAGGCAGCUCGCUGGGACGGUACUGACGCUGAGACGCGAAAGCGUGGGGAGCAAACAGG
rnacentral:rRNA from 1 species